rnacentral:lncRNA from 1 species
CUAUUCUUAAUUUACAUAAAUGACCUCCCAGAUUACAUCCAACAUAGCAAAAUCAGACUCUUUGCAGAUGACAGUAUAAUCUACCGACAAAUUAAAACUCAAAACGACUGCCUCAAGCUUCAAGAAGACCUAGAAGCUGCCAUACAAUGGGAAAAAGAUUGGCUUAUGUCUUUCCAUCCAGACAAGUGUAACAUCAUGAAUAUAACAACAAAAAGAAAUCCCAUCCACUUUUAUUAUAACAUGUAUGGACACAUCUUAGAAUCUGUAAAACAUGCAAAAUACUUAGGCAUCACCAUCUCAGCAGACCUAAAAUGGAACACCCACAUCCAACAAACUGCUGCAAAAGCAAAUAAAUUCCCAGGUUUCGCAAACAAUUAAAGAAAGAGCGUACCAAACACUCAUAAGACCAAAGUUGGAAUACUGUUGUACUGUAUGGGACCCAUUUACAAACGAAAAUAUAAAAUCACUGGAAAAAGUACAAAGACGGGCAGCAAGGUUCGUGUGCAAUAGACAUCACAACACCAGCAGUGUGUCUGAGAUGCUAGACACCAUGAAAUGGCAAACCUUACAAGAACGCCGACUACGAACAAGGCUUAUAAUGUUCCACAAAAUUGUAAAUGAAAAGAUAGCCAUUCCAUCGCAAAAUGUAUUACAACAGAGUCAGUCUACUACAAGAUCCACCAAUAAAGAAUCCUACAGACAAAUUCAUUGCAAUAAAGACAGCUAUAAAUUUUCUUCUUUCUGUCAAACCAUCAAAGACUGGAACAAA